UACGUAGGGUGCGAGCGUUGUCCGGAAUUACUGGGCGUAAAGAGCUCGUAGGUGGUUUGUCGCGUUGUUCGUGAAAACCGGGGGCUUAACCCGUCGGCGUGCGGGCGAUACGGGCAGACUGGAGUACUGCAGGGGAGACUGGAAUUCCUGGUGUAGCGGUGGAAUGCGCAGAUAUCAGGAGGAACACCGGUGGCGAAGGCGGCAUCCUGGACCGGCACUGACGCUGAGGAGCGAAAGCCAGGGAGCAAACGGG
rnacentral:rRNA from 1 species